GGGUUGUGAGGUUAAGCGACUAAGCGUACACGGUGGAUGCCCUGGCAGUCAGAGGCGAUGAAGGACGUGCUAAUCUGCGAAAAGCGUCGGUAAGGUGAUAUGAACCGUUACAGCCGGCGAUGUCCGAAUGGGGAAACCCAGUGCAAUUCGUUGCACUAUCGUUAACUGAAUACAUAGGUUAACGAGGCGAACCGGGGGAACUGAAACAUCUAAGUACCCCGAGGAAAAGAAAUCAACCGAGAUUCCCCCAGUAGCGGCGAGCGAACGGGGAGCAGCCCAGAGUCUGAAUCAGCUUGUGUGUUAGUGGAACGGUCUGGAAAGUCCGACGGUACAGGGUGAUAGUCCCGUACACCAAAAUGCACAGGCUGUGAACUCGAAGAGUAGGGCGGGACACGUGGUAUCCUGUCUGAAUAUGGGGGGACCAUCCUCCAAGGCUAAAUACUCCUGACUGACCGAUAGUGAACCAGUACCGUGAGGGAAAGGCGAAAAGAACCCCGGCGAGGGGAGUGAAAAAGAACCUGAAACCGUGUACGUACAAGCAGUGGGAGCACCUUCGGGUGUGACUGCGUACCUUUUGUAUAAUGGGUCAGCGACUUAUAUUCUGUAGCAAGGUUAACCGUAUAGGGGAGCCGCAGGGAAACCGAGUCUUAACUGGGCGUUAAGUUGCAGGGUAUAGACCCGAAACCCGGUGAUCUAGCCAUGGGCAGGUUGAAGGUUGGGUAACACUAACUGGAGGACCGAACCGACUAAUGUUGAAAAAUUAGCGGAUGACUUGUGGCUGGGGGUGAAAGGCCAAUCAAACCGGGAGAUAGCUGGUUCUCCCCGAAAGCUAUUUAGGUAGCGCCUCGUGAACUCAUCUUCGGGGGUAGAGCACUGUUUCGGCUAGGGGGUCAUCCCGACUUACCAACCCGAUGCAAACUACGAAUACCGAAGAAUGUUAUCACGGGAGACACACGGCGGGUGCUAACGUCCGUCGUGAAGAGGGAAACAACCCAGACCGCCAGCUAAGGUCCCAAAGUCAUGGUUAAGUGGGAAACGAUGUGGGAAGGCACAGACAGCCAGGAUGUUGGCUUAGAAGCAGCCAUCAUUUAAAGAAAGCGUAAUAGCUCACUGGUCGAGUCGGCCUGCGCGGAAGAUGUAACGGGGCUAAACCAUGCACCGAAGCUGCGGCAGCGACACUAUGUGUUGUUGGGUAGGGGAGCGUUCUGUAAGCCUGCGAAGGUGACCUGUGAGGGUUGCUGGAGGUAUCAGAAGUGCGAAUGCUGACAUAAGUAACGAUAAAGCGGGUGAAAAGCCCGCUCGCCGGAAGACCAAGGGUUCCUGUCCAACGUUAAUCGGGGCAGGGUGAGUCGACCCCUAAGGCGAGGCCGAAAGGCGUAGUCGAUGGGAAACAGGUUAAUAUUCCUGUACUUGGUGUUACUGCGAAGGGGGGACGGAGAAGGCUAUGUUAGCCGGGCGACGGUUGUCCCGGUUUAAGCAUGUAGGCUGAUUAUCCAGGCAAAUCCGGAUAAUCAAGGCUGAGGUGUGAUGACGAGGCACUACGGUGCUGAAGUAACAAAUGCCCUGCUUCCAGGAAAAGCCUCUAAGCAUCAGGUAACAUCAAAUCGUACCCCAAACCGACACAGGUGGUCAGGUAGAGAAUACCAAGGCGCUUGAGAGAACUCGGGUGAAGGAACUAGGCAAAAUGGUGCCGUAACUUCGGGAGAAGGCACGCUGGUGUGUAGGUGAAGCCCCUGCGGGUGGAGCUGAGACCAGUCGAAGAUACCAGCUGGCUGCAACUGUUUAUUAAAAACACAGCACUGUGCAAACACGAAAGUGGACGUAUACGGUGUGACGCCUGCCCGGUGCCGGAAGGUUAAUUGAUGGGGUUAUCCGUAAGGAGAAGCUCUUGAUCGAAGCCCCGGUAAACGGCGGCCGUAACUAUAACGGUCCUAAGGUAGCGAAAUUCCUUGUCGGGUAAGUUCCGACCUGCACGAAUGGCGUAAUGAUGGCCAGGCUGUCUCCACCCGAGACUCAGUGAAAUUGAACUCGCUGUGAAGAUGCAGUGUACCCGCGGCAAGACGGAAAGACCCCGUGAACCUUUACUAUAGCUUGACACUGAACAUUGAGCCUUGAUGUGUAGGAUAGGUGGGAGGCUUUGAAGCGUGGACGCCAGUCUGCGUGGAGCCAACCUUGAAAUACCACCCUUUAAUGUUUGAUGUUCUAACGUUGGCCCCUGACCGGGGUUGCGGACAGUGUCUGGUGGGUAGUUUGACUGGGGCGGUCUCCUCCCAAAGCGUAACGGAGGAGCACGAAGGUUAGCUAAUCCUGGUCGGACAUCAGGAGGUUAGUGCAAUGGCAUAAGCUAGCUUGACUGCGAGCGUGACGGCGCGAGCAGGUGCGAAAGCAGGUCAUAGUGAUCCGGUGGUUCUGAAUGGAAGGGCCAUCGCUCAACGGAUAAAAGGUACUCCGGGGAUAACAGGCUGAUACCGCCCAAGAGUUCAUAUCGACGGCGGUGUUUGGCACCUCGAUGUCGGCUCAUCACAUCCUGGGGCUGAAGUAGGUCCCAAGGGUAUGGCUGUUCGCCAUUUAAAGUGGUACGCGAGCUGGGUUUAGAACGUCGUGAGACAGUUCGGUCCCUAUCUGCCGUGGGCGCUGGAGAAUUGAGGGGGGCUGCUCCUAGUACGAGAGGACCGGAGUGGACGCAUCACUGGUGUUCGGGUUGUCAUGCCAAUGGCACUGCCCGGUAGCUAAAUGCGGAAGAGAUAAGUGCUGAAAGCAUCUAAGCACGAAACUUGCCCCGAGAUGAGUUCUCCCUGAGACUUUAAGUCUCCUGAAGGAACGUUGAAGACGACGACGUUGAUAGGCCGGGUGUGUAAGCGCAGCGAUGCGUUGAGCUAACCGGUACUAAUGAACCGUGAGGCUUAACCUUACAACGCCGAAG
rnacentral:rRNA from 1 species